rnacentral:lncRNA from 1 species
AUUACACUAGACAGCUGUUGAAAUCCAUUGUGGGUCCAACGUUACUUUAGAUUGGUCACCGUGGAUCAGAUAGUGAAGAGAUACGGCCCUGAGAGAGCUGUGACGAUCACACUGAACACAAUGAGGAGGAUGGACCUGGGUAUGAUCUUGCUAAGAAGUUAGAGAGAGAUCACAUGAGAUGGUGGAUGUGACUUCCUGUCUGUAGCCCAUGUGACUGAUGACAAAGUGGAGUUUCUCCCUCCUCAUGAGACAACAGACACACAUGUCAUAAUAAAUAUCACUGGAUCCUCUGCUUAUGGUGAUGUCACGGAUGAUGAUGCUCCCAUCUCCCCUAUCCACAGGCUUCUGUUAUUCUACCAACCGUUUCUCUGAAGAGAGGUCCAUCCUGAAUGUGUUGUUACCUCCCUGAUCACAACAUUUCUGGGAAGCAAGCAUGAGUGCAAUAGGAGAGGAAGGGAAGGAAUGGAAACAAAGAAACCAUUGAAACAAAUCCUCACUGCAAUCUAACCCUGAAGAAAGCAUACAUCCUCUCCACAGAUAUUACAGAUGGAUAUAGGAUCACCCCAACAGUAAUUAAUAUCUAUAAGUCAAAAAGAGAUUACAACUUCAGAUAUUUCUUUAACUGUGAGCUCAGUAUCUUCACACUUCAUGUAAGAUUGUAGAUACUGACUCUGGCUUUGUGUUCCAGACAGCAGAAUUUAUGGAUUUCAAAUCCUAUGAAAACUACUUCCCCACAUUUCAGUUGUCAUGAUUGAUUGCCAACAAGGGUUUUGUCACCAAGUACUAAGUCAUGUUUUGCAGAGG